rnacentral:rRNA from 1 species
CCCUUAGAUGUUCUGGGCCGCACGCGUGCUACACUGAGUGGAUCAGCGGGUCAGGUUGCGCGAAAGCGUUUCCUAAUCUUUAAAUCCGCUCGUGAUGGGGAUUGACGGUUGCAAUUUUCAGUCAUGAACGAGGAAUACCUUGUAAGCGCGGGUCAUCAUCCCGCGCUGAAUACGUCCCUGCCCUUUGUACACACCGCCCGUCGCUCCUACCGAUUGAGUGGUCCGGUGAGGCUUUGGGAUCUGAGCGGAAAGAGCGUUUCGCUGUUUCUGCUCGGAAAACUCAGUCGAACCUUAUCAUUUAGAGGAAGGAGAAGUCGUAACA